rnacentral:tRNA from 2 species
CAAAGUGUAGCUUAAUUAAAGCCCCCCGCUUACACCGAGGAAAUGUCUGUUAAACCCAAAUCACUUUGC